CUCUAUCAAGGUCCUCCAAAAGCCAGCCCCUCUUUACCUUCCUUUGUAAAGGAUUUGAUCUCUCUCUCCCUGAGUCUCUCCUCUAGCUGACCUGACCCUUCAGAUGGGAUCCCACAGAAGGUAGCUGUCUGUCUACCUGGGACACUGUCUGGUUUCCUGACCCUACUCCACUUCACCCCAACCUGUAAGAGACAGGGCACCACCAGCACAGGGCUCUGUGAGGCCACCUCCAGACCCCAACGCACCCUCAUCAGCCUGCAGCUCAGGGGUGACGUCAGUGCGGAAUCCCGGGGUCCGCGUUGACUGACAGCUGUGGCAUCCAAUGACACCACAUGCCGGGCCAGUUCUUUGACCCGUUCUGAAGCUCAGGCUCCCG
rnacentral:lncRNA from 1 species